UUAGGGUUUACUUGCCGCGCUUCCCCUUUCCUGCUGUUUAUUCUCAAACCCUAACACAAAGGUGUCUGAUGUCUCCACUCUCCAGCCACCAGCCCACCACACGCCGUCGGCGGAGCCACUCCAGCAUCCACGACUCAGUCACGCAGCCCUUCGCCUUCCCUUAGUCACUCUCUUCCGCCCUUAAGGUUCGUUUAAACCCUAUUGUUGAUCUCAAAGAACGGCUCAUCAGCAAAAUAGGUUCCGGUUAGAAUUGGUUCUCAGCAAAAUAGGUAUUUUGCCGGAGAUGGAACAAUUAUGGUCAGCUCACAAAAGAAGCUAGCAAAAAAUGGAUGCUAGGACAUAUAGCAUAUAUAAGGGAAAAAUCUGACAGUCAACUUUUUAAUUAUACGGUCUAUUUAGCAAUACAAACUCGUUACCUAUAGAAAGUUGAUGAACUGUGUGAAAGAUACUCGAAACAGGAAUAUUAGCACCAACAAACUUCCAUUGUCAGGGAGCUAGGGAGCUGUUGGUUUAGCAAGAUGGAUGUCAUAUGUUGCAAACCAGUGUAAGGAGGGUGAAUGACCAAAUGGUGAAUAGGAUAUGAAACUUUGCAUAAUGGGAGUUGGUGAUAACCAUCAACCAUGACACAAUUGAUGAGGAUAUUAUUUAUGAGCAUAAUGAAGUUUCGAGUUUUUAUUUAAAUAUUUGUUAGGUUUUUGUUUUAUAUGUUAGAUAUUUAGACUUAAUGUGACACUUGUUAGACAUUUGGAAGAUAAUAGAAGUUAUGAUAUUAUGCUU
rnacentral:lncRNA from 1 species